AGAGUUUGAUCAUGGCUCAGAAUCAACGCUGGCGGCGUGCCUCAGACAUGCAAGUCGAACGCGAAAGCCCCCUUCGGGGGGCAAGUAGAGUGGCGCACGGGUGAGUAACACGUAGGUAAUCUACCUUUGGAUGGGGAAUAACAACCGGAAACGGUUGCUAAUACCGCAUAAUGCAGCGGCACCUAAUGGUGACAGUUGUUAAAGCGGGGGAUCGAAAGACCUCGCGUCUGAAGAGGAGCCUGCGGCGGAUUAGCUAGUUGGUAAGGUAACGGCUUACCAAGGCGAUGAUCCGUAGCCGGCCUGAGAGGGCGGUCGGCCACACUGACACUGACAUACGGGUCAGACUCCUACGGGAGGCAGCAGUCGGGAAUUUUGGGCAAUGGGCGAAAGCCUGACCCAGCAACGCCGCGUGAAGGAUGAAAUCCCUCGGGAUGUAAACUUCGCAAGAACGGGAAGAAUAAGUAAGGGUUAAUAUCUCUUACGAUGACGGUACCGUUUGUAAGCUCCGGCUAACUCCGUGCCAGCAGCCGCGGUAAUAC
rnacentral:rRNA from 1 species